rfam:Sporanaerobacter acetigenes DSM 13106 genome assembly, contig: EJ96DRAFT_scaffold00015.15
AUAAAUAAUGGUGAUGGAGUUCACCAAAACUGCAUUAUGCUAAUGACUCCUACAGGUAA